AUAUUACUAAGCGGAGGAGAAGAAAUUAACAAAGAUUGCCUUAGUAAGGGCGACUGAACCGGCAAAAGCUCAAAAUUGGAAUCGGGGAUUCAAAGAAUCUUCGAAUUGUAAUCAGGUCCGCCGAAAUACGAGAGAUCGCUUAAGUACGUCGAAACGUACGCCAGAGAGGGUGAAAGUCCCGUGUAGCGUUCUCUCGAAACAGGUGGCCCCCACAAGAGUCGGGUUGCUUGGAACUGCAGCCUAAGCGGGAGAUAUGAAUCUUCCAAAGCUAAAUAUGGAUGGGAGACCGAUAGCGCAUACAGUA
rnacentral:rRNA from 1 species